rnacentral:misc_RNA from 1 species
GGUAGGAUCAUUAACAUAAACACGCGUAGCAUAACCCAAUGCACGCGUAUGUCCUCCUAUAUAAUAUCGUCACUAGUAAUUCAUCGUGAUAGCAGCACACGAUGAACAGUUCCUAUGAGAACUAUACAUUGUCUAGUCUUGUCCUUAGUCAUUAGUAAAUGUGAUAACAACUCUUAACAACGGAUAUCUUGGUUCAUGCAUCGAUGACGAGCGCAGUGAAAUGUGAUACUUAGUGUGAAUUGCGGAAUAAAGUGAAUCAUUAAGACCUUGAACGCAUAUUGCACCCUUGAAUUUACUCGAGGGUACGUCGGUUUGAGUGCGACCUAUUAAAUAGACUAGUAAAUACAUUAGUCUGACUUGAGAUUGUAGCUAAAGGAUGCUAGAGCGCUACUUUCUUUAAAUAAUCAUAGAGGCCCAACGUAUUAGCAAUUAUUAGUAGAAGAGUCUAAGCUACUAGUAUCUAGCUGAUCUAUUAGAUCGAUGAGAGGUAACACUCGAGUCUACUCGAAUGAUCACUAGCAUAUUGUGUGUCGAUUCUCUUUGAAGCUUUUACGUGCGUCUUAUUAGAGAGGGGGAUGUGUAUCGUGACUAGGAAAGGACCCCCUAGUCAUUAGGACUACUAGAGUCCUUCUCUCGCGUAUAGGGGGAUGUGUAUCGUGAUAGUGUAAUACCGAUAUCGCUUCAUGGACUACUAGAGUCUUCUUAUACGUAUAAAGGGUUAGUGACAUUUAAAGGGGUAUGGCUCAUAAAGCUAUAUCGAGCUCCUAAUGUCAUCCCUAGAUACUAAUGUCGCCUAAUGAAUAUUAUUAAAGUCGCCUCAAAUCAGACGGGAUUACUCGCUGAAUUUAAGCAUAUAAUUAAGCGAAGGAAAAGAAACCAACGGGGAUUCCCUUAGUAACGGCGAGUGAAGUGGGAAGAGCUCACGCUUAAAAUCUCGUUAGGGUAAUGCCUAUAGAGAAUUGUAGUUUCGUAACCGGUAUUCACCGGGGAGGCUGUCGAGGCUUAAGUUCCCUGGAAAGGGACACCGUAGAAGGUGAGAGUCCUGUGAAGCCUUUAGACUAGUCUUCUCGAUCGUGUUACCGAUUUACAGAGUCGGAUUAUUUGAGAGUAUAGUCCUAAAUGGGUGGUAAAUCCCAUCUAAAGCUAGAUAUUAGCAUGAAACCGAUAGCGAACAAGUACCGUGAGGGAAAGAUGCAAAGUACUUUGGAGAGAGAGUUAAAUAGGCCUUGAAAUUGUUAAGAGGGAAGCGAUAGCGACCUUAAUAUAUUUAACGAGUAAUUCACCGAGAGAGGGCUCUCUCGUGUCGUGUAUCGAGAGCUACGUUACAACGUGGCCUCAAUGUAUGUGUGAGGGGGCUCUUUUAAGGGCAUUUUACUAGUUAAAGGGAUCAGUGUCUAUUAGAGAUGAUAGUAAAACGGUGUUGAGGUUGGAAUGAUAGGGUGCGCCUUAUCAGAAGGCUUAAUACAACGAUACGUUCGUUCUAAUUGAGGGGUUUAUGUGAACUAAUACGAGUGCCAAGCGGGGGAACCUAGUGAUAGAAGGGGCUCUCGAUUAGCUAUACAGCACGCUGUAUAGCUGAACGGGGGUUCCCUCUACUCUACUAGUCUCACUCACUCGUUACGACACGUGAUGUGCAUUAAUUUAAGGUCUUUAUCGACCCGUCUUGAAACACGGACCAAGGAGUGUAACACGAGUGCAAGUGUUAUAGCGAUAUAAACUAUUACGCGAAAUGAAAGUGAACCCUUAAUGUGGGAAAGGGGCUUCAACGGUUAAACGUUGUCCCUAGCACCAUAGACCGAUCUCGAGUAAAUUUAUUUAGACGGAUUUGAGUAAGAGCACGCUUGUUACGACCCGAAAGAUAGUGAACUAUGCUUGUGUAGGGUGAAGCCAGGCGAAAGUCUGGUGGAGGCUCGUAGAGGUGCUGACGUGCAAAUCGCUCUCAGAAUAUGAGUAUAGCGGCGAAAGACUAAUCGAACUAUCUAGUAGCUGGUUCCUUC